rnacentral:rRNA from 1 species
CAGUAGCCACGGUAAGACGAACCGUGCGAACGUUAUUCGGAAUCACUGGGCCUAAAGCGCGUGUAGGUGGGUGGGUACGUCCGUCGUUGAAAGCCCCCGGCUCAACCGGGGAACUGGCGCGGAUACGGCCUACCUGGAGGGACGUAGGGGGACCUGGAACUUCCGGUGGAGCGGUGAAAUGCGUUGAGAUCGGAAGGAACGCCCGUGGCGAAAGCGAGGUCCUGGACGUUUUCUGACACUGAGACGCGAAAGCCAGGGGAGCGAACGGGAUUAGAUACCCCAGUAGUCCCUGUCUCUUAUA